rnacentral:rRNA from 1 species
CGAACGGGUGAGUAACGCGUGAGGAACCUGCCUCAAAGAGGGGGACAACAGUUGGAAACGACUGCUAAUACCGCAUAAGCCCACAGGUCGGCAUCGACCAGAGGGAAAAGGAGCAAUCCGCUUUGAGAUGGCCUCGCGUCCGAUUAGCUAGUUGGUGAGGUAACGGCCCACCAAGGCGACGAUCGGUAGCCGGACUGAGAGGUUGAACGGUCACAUUGGGACUGAGACACGGCCCAG